rnacentral:rRNA from 1 species
GGGCUGAGAGGAUGACCAGCCACACUGGAACUGAGACACGGGCCAGACUCCUACGGGAGGCAGCAGUGGGGAAUAUUGCGCAAUGGGCGCAAGCCUGAUGCAGCCAUGCCGCGUGUAUGAAGAAGGCCUUCGGGUUGUAAAGUACUUUCAGCGAGGAGGAAGGCGUUAAGGUUAAUAACCUUGUGGAUUGACGUUACUCGCAGAAAAAACACCGGCUAACUCCGUGCCAGCAGCCGCGGUAAUACGGAGGGUGCGAGCGUUAAUCGGAAUUACUGGGCGUAAAGCGCACGCAGGCGGUCUGUCAAGUCGGAUGUGAAAUCCCCGGGCUCAACCUGGGAACUGCGUUCGAAACUGUGAGGCUAUAGUCUUGUAGAGGGGGGUAGAAUUCCAGGUGUAGCGGUGAAAUGCGUAUAGAUCUGGAGGAAUACCGGUGGCGAAGGCGGCCCCCUGUACAAAGACUGACGCUCACGUGCGAGAGCGUGGGGAGCACACAGGAUUAGAUACCCUGUGAGUCCACGCCGUAUACGAUGUCGACUUGUAGGCUGUGCCCUUGAGGAGUGUGUUUCGCAGCUAACGCGUUAAGUCGACCGCCUGUGGAGUACGGCCGCAAGGGUAAAACUCACAUGAGUUGACGGGGGCCCGCACAAGCGGUGGAGCAUGUGUUUUAAUUCGAUGCGACGCGAAAAACUCACCUACUCUUGACAUCCACAGAACUUAUCAGAGAUGCUUUGGUGGCCUU